rnacentral:rRNA from 1 species
UUAAGCGACUAAGCGUACACGGUGGAUGCCCUGGCAGUCAGAGGCGAUGAAGGACGUGCUAAUCUGCGAUAAGCGUCGGUAAGGUGAUAUGAACCGUUAUAACCGGCGAUUUCCGAAUGGGGAAACCCAGUGUGAUUCGUCACACUAUCAUUAACUGAAUCCAUAGGUUAAUGAGGCGAACCGGGGGAACUGAAACAUCUAAGUACCCCGAGGAAAAGAAAUCAACCGAGAUUCCCCCAGUAGCGGCGAGCGAACGGGGAGGAGCCCAGAGCCUGAAUCAGUGUGUGUGUUAGUGGAAGCGUCUGGAAAGGCGCGCGAUACAGGGUGACAGCCCCGUACACAAAAAUGCACAUGCUGUGAGCUCGAUGAGUAGGGCGGGACACGUGGUAUCCUGUCUGAAUAUGGGGGGACCAUCCUCCAAGGCUAAAUACUCCUGACUGACCGAUAGUGAACCAGUACCGUGAGGGAAAGGCGAAAAGAACCCCGGCGAGGGGAGUGAAAAAGAACCUGAAACCGUGUACGUACAAGCAGUGGGAGCACAGAGCAAUCUUGUGUGACUGCGUACCUUUUGUAUAAUGGGUCAGCGACUUAUAUUCUGUAGCAAGGUUAACCGAAUAGGGGAGCCGAAGGGAAACCGAGUCUUAACCGGGCGUUAAGUUGCAGGGUAUAGACCCGAAACCCGGUGAUCUAGCCAUGGGCAGGUUGAAGGAUGGGUAACACUAACUGGAGGACCGAACCGACUAAUGUUGAAAAAUUAGCGGAUGACUUGUGGCUGGGGGUGAAAGGCCAAUCAAACCGGGAGAUAGCUGGUUCUCCCCGAAAGCUAUUUAGGUAGCGCCUCGUGAAUUCAUCUCCGGGGGUAGAGCACUGUUUCGGCAAGGGGGUCAUCCCGACUUACCAACCCGAUGCAAACUGCGAAUACCGGAGAAUGUUAUCACGGGAGACACACGGCGGGUGCUAACGUCCGUCGUGAAGAGGGAAACAACCCAGACCGCCAGCUAAGGUCCCAAAGUCAUGGUUAAGUGGGAAACGAUGUGGGAAGGCCCAGACAGCCAGGAUGUUGGCUUAGAAGCAGCCAUCAUUUAAAGAAAGCGUAAUAGCUCACUGGUCGAGUCGGCCUGCGCGGAAGAUGUAACGGGGCUAAACCAUGCACCGAAGCUGCGGCAGCGACACUGUGUGUUGUUGGGUAGGGGAGCGUUCUGUAAGCCUGUGAAGGUGUGCUGUGAGGCAUGCUGGAGGUAUCAGAAGUGCGAAUGCUGACAUAAGUAACGAUAAAGCGGGUGAAAAGCCCGCUCGCCGGAAGACCAAGGGUUCCUGUCCAACGUUAAUCGGGGCAGGGUGAGUCGACCCCUAAGGCGAGGCCGAAAGGCGUAGUCGAUGGGAAACAGGUUAAUAUUCCUGUACUUGGUGUUACUGCGAAGGGGGGACGGAGAAGGCUAUGUUGGCCGGGCGACGGUUGUCCCGGUUUAAGCGUGUAGGCUGGUUUUCCAGGCAAAUCCGGAAAAUCAAGGCUGAGGCGUGAUGACGAGGCACUACGGUGCUGAAGCAACAAAUGCCCUGCUUCCAGGAAAAGCCUCUAAGCAUCAGGUAACAUCAAAUCGUACCCCAAACCGACACAGGUGGUCAGGUAGAGAAUACCAAGGCGCUUGAGAGAACUCGGGUGAAGGAACUAGGCAAAAUGGUGCCGUAACUUCGGGAGAAGGCACGCUGAUAUGUAGGUGAAGUCCCUCGCGGAUGGAGCUGAAAUCAGUCGAAGAUACCAGCUGGCUGCAACUGUUUAUUAAAAACACAGCACUGUGCAAACACGAAAGUGGACGUAUACGGUGUGACGCCUGCCCGGUGCCGGAAGGUUAAUUGAUGGGGUCAGCGCAAGCGAAGCUCUUGAUCGAAGCCCCGGUAAACGGCGGCCGUAACUAUAACGGUCCUAAGGUAGCGAAAUUCCUUGUCGGGUAAGUUCCGACCUGCACGAAUGGCGUAAUGAUGGCCAGGCUGUCUCCACCCGAGACUCAGUGAAAUUGAACUCGCUGUGAAGAUGCAGUGUACCCGCGGCAAGACGGAAAGACCCCGUGAACCUUUACUAUAGCUUGACACUGAACAUUGAGCCUUGAUGUGUAGGAUAGGUGGGAGGCUUUGAAGUGUGGACGCCAGUCUGCAUGGAGCCGACCUUGAAAUACCACCCUUUAAUGUUUGAUGUUCUAACGUGGACCCGUGAUCCGGGUUGCGGACAGUGUCUGGUGGGUAGUUUGACUGGGGCGGUCUCCUCCUAAAGAGUAACGGAGGAGCACGAAGGUUGGCUAAUCCUGGUCGGACAUCAGGAGGUUAGUGCAAUGGCAUAAGCCAGCUUGACUGCGAGCGUGACGGCGCGAGCAGGUGCGAAAGCAGGUCAUAGUGAUCCGGUGGUUCUGAAUGGAAGGGCCAUCGCUCAACGGAUAAAAGGUACUCCGGGGAUAACAGGCUGAUACCGCCCAAGAGUUCAUAUCGACGGCGGUGUUUGGCACCUCGAUGUCGGCUCAUCACAUCCUGGGGCUGAAGUAGGUCCCAAGGGUAUGGCUGUUCGCCAUUUAAAGUGGUACGCGAGCUGGGUUUAGAACGUCGUGAGACAGUUCGGUCCCUAUCUGCCGUGGGCGCUGGAGAACUGAGGGGGGCUGCUCCUAGUACGAGAGGACCGGAGUGGACGCAUCACUGGUGUUCGGGUUGUCAUGCCAAUGGCACUGCCCGGUAGCUAAAUGCGGAAGAGAUAAGUGCUGAAAGCAUCUAAGCACGAAACUUGCCCCGAGAUGAGUUCUCCCUGACCCUUUAAGGGUCCUGAAGGAACGUUGAAGACGACGACGUUGAUAGGCCGGGUGUGUAAGCGCAGCGAUGCGUUGAGCUAACCGGUACUAAUGAACCGUGAGGCUUAACCUU